rnacentral:rRNA from 1 species
AAUACAUGCAAGUCGAGCGAGCUGAAUUCAAAGAUCCCUUCGGGGUGAUUUGUUGGAUGCUAGCGGCGGAUGGGUGAGUAACACGUGGGCAAUCUGCCCUAAAGACUGGGAUACCACUUGGAAACAGGUGCUAAUACCGGAUAACAACAUGAAUCGCAUGAUUCAAGUUUGAAAGGCGGCGCAAGCUGUCACUUUAGGAUGAGCCCGCGGCGCAUUAGCUAGUUGGUGGGGUAAAGGCCUACCAAGGCAAUGAUGCGUAGCCGAGUUGAGAGACUGAUCGGCCACAUUGGGACUGAGACACGGCCCAAACUCCUACGGGAGGCAGCAGUAGGGAAUCUUCCACAAUGGACGCAAGUCUGAUGGAGCAACGCCGCGUGAGUGAAGAAGGUCUUCGGAUCGUAAAGCUCUGUUGUUGGUGAAGAAGGAUAGAGGCAGUAACUGGUCUUUAUUUGACGGUAAUCAACCAGAAAGUCACGGCUAACUACGUGCCAGCAGCCGCGGUAAUACGUAGGUGGCAAGCGUUGUCCGGAUUUAUUGGGCGUAAAGCGAGCGCAGGCGGAAUGAUAAGUCUGAUGUGAAAGCCCACGGCUCAACCGUGGAACUGCAUCGGAAACUGUCAUUCUUGAGUGCAGAAGAGGAGAGUGGAACUCCAUGUGUAGCGGUGGAAUGCGUAGAUAUAUGGAAGAACACCAGUGGCGAAGGCGGCUCUCUGGUCUGCAACUGACGCUGAGGCUCGAAAGCAU